UUAAAUUGAUCUCCUAUUAACCUUUUAAACGGUUACAUGAAAAGGAGAUCCCGCGGAAACAUGAAUUUCAGCACGGCGGAAGAGCAUCACGCACAUAAAAGCAGCAGGCAUUGUAUUAAAUGUACAGUUACAGAUUUAGAAUUGAUCUGUGUUGUACCUGCUUGUUCGGGCGUGUCGAUUUAUAAACAGUGAAUUAACAAUCUUUCGUAUUUUUCUUAUUGCUGCUGUAGCACUGGAUAUAAGAUUGACAACAAUGUAAUGACGUGCCUAUAUUCCUCAUAUCUAGCAAUAUUGAAUAUUCUUGCUUUCUGUUUACUAUAUGAGUUAUGUUUGUAUAUAUUGGUGAAUUUGUGUUGCAUUAUUAUACUCAAUGUAUAUUUAUAUAUAUUUAAAAUGCUAUGCAUUUGAUACUGCUUGUAUGUAUUUCGUCUUGAAAUGUAAAGGUGCUGCUCUCCAUUUUUGAGGUGUCUAAGUAUAGUAAGUGUUAACCUCCAUGAUCAGACCUACUAUUAGCUUAUACCAAUAUGAGUGACUCCUUUAGUAUACAUAGCAGGUAUUUAUUCUGGGGCCAAAUAAACUUGCAAACUAUUGCGGCUAUUUAAAUAAAAUGGUGACACGUCGAGUCUUUCAAAUCUGUACCUUCUUCGACUUGAUGUAAUGCGCAAGUGCUGACAAAGAGGUAAGAUUUCGUAGUCCAACGUUCUACUAUAUGCAAAGUUAAUUAUAAUCAAGUAUAAAAAAUUUAUAUAUGAAAGUUAGCAGGUGAUUUACCAUUAUACGUGUUGUUGACAUAUCUACAUUACUCAAUAUCUACUUCUAUGUUAUAAAAAAGAAAUGAUAGAUUUAGGUGUGCCAAAAUACAUGUAAAGUAGUGAAAGGGCGAAUCCAGGUACCUACCAGUGAUAGCCAGCAAAGGAACACUUAAAGGGCGGUUCGGUACAUGUGAAGCUUUAUAGCUAGCAACAGAACACUUACACGACACUUCUGUACACUUUUACAAUUAUCUUUACAAUUAUGGCUUACUUUUGCACGUAUGCCUUAGAAUGGAAUAAUUUUAGAGAGGCCCUGUCACGCCCUGGGACCGAUGCCAAUUUGGCCCGACCCGAGCACGUCGAACAGACGCCGAACGGACAGAGUUUUCCCUAUCCGCCCAAGGCUCAUCACAUGUACAAAUUCAAACAAAAAAUGCACUAGCGGAAACAUACACAAACGGCUUACACGAGGGUAAGCAAUAGCCAUUAGUGAAAGAAAAAGAAAACUNCACGCUGUCACUAUACAAUUUUACAUGUUUGAAAUAACCCCUUGCUGCUUAUCGAAAGACUUCUUAAAAGAGUCAUCCUUUCUUUUGCUCUUUUGCAGGACGUGGUCGAAGCCGUUUAACGUUUAGAUUCCCAGCCGGUGGAUAGGCAACACGUUCGUCUGGUCGAUGUCGUUAGACGACUGGUCAGGAUUAGUGAAAGCGACCGUCGCUACCAAUGAAAAUGACGUGCUCAGUGAUUCUUUAGUCCUAGCUAUACCAGUCUUUAUGUCUCCUACUUCGUCAUUCACAACGUACCCUGCUAUAGUGGUGACCUGGCCGUCGGGAAUUACACGACGGUUACGGUGGAUUGACACGCAAAACGCCACCAUAUAUAUACCACAUAGGGAGAUAUUAACAUUGAAAUAUAAAGGCAGUUAGAUAGUAACGAGAAGCUCAAUACACCAAUACCACGCAAGUUAAAGUGUAAAAUAAUAUUAGAGCACAAUGUUCAUUACAACACAUGUAGAGAUAACAACAUUACAGUUUUUAUAUAUACAUUACACUCAAAAGACAUCGUGUAACGUCUUUUUUACAAUUUAUAAAUAUUCAAACGGUGCCAUGUACACAUCACGGGUGAACACAUCAGGGGCGCGAUGACAACGUCAAUAUCGUAUCUUACCUUGUCAACAUCUCGAGUAUCCAUGUAGACAUCACAAUUACCCGUAUGGGUAUAUAGUCGGUGAAAAUAUCCCAUCUGAAACGAAAACGUCAAUAUCUUAUACUACCCUGUCAACAUCUCGAGUCGACUUGUCGACAUGACCAUUACCGGUGUGGGUAUAUCGACGGUUAAAGUAUCCCAACCUUUUCAAAACCGUGUAACGUCUUUUUUAAUCUUUAUACAUGUUCACACCGUGCCAUGUACACAUCCCUGGUGAAAAGAUAUGAUCUACAUGUGAAAAGAUAUGAUCCGGAAUGUACGGUGAAAGUAUCCCAUCUCUUUCGAAAAGGUGAAACGUCCUUUUUUAGUCUUAUAGAUACUGACACGAUGCUAUGUAUACAUCACGGGUGAACAUAUCCCAACCGUAACGACAACGUCGAUAUCGUAUGUUACCUUGACACCAUCUCGAGUGUCCAUGUAGACAUCACCAUUAUCCGUGCGGGUAUAUCGACCGUGAAUCUUACCCAUCCGAAACGAAAAGAUCAAUAUCUUAUCUUACCGUGUCAACAUCCCCAGUGUACAUGUAGAGAUGACAAUUACCCGUGUGGGUAUAUCGUCGGUGAAAAUAUCCCAUCCGAAACGAAAACAUCAAUAUCUUAUACUACCCUGUCAACAUCUCGAGUCGACUUGUCGACAUGACCAUUACCAGUUUGGGUAUAUCGACGGUUAAAGUAUCCCAACCGUUUCAAAACUGUGUAUCGUCUUUUUUUAAUCUUUAUAAAUGUUCACACCGUACCAUGUACACAUCCCGGGUGAAAAGAUAUGAUCUACAUGUGAAAAGAUAUAAUCCGGAAUGUACGGUGAAGGUAUCCCAUCUCUUUCGAAAGGGUGAAAUGUCAUUUUUUCGUCUUAUAGAUACUGACACGAUGUUAUGUAUACAUCACGGGUGAACAUAUCCCAACCGUAAUGACAACGUCGAUAUCGUAUGUUACCUUGACACCAUCUCGAGUGUCCAUGUAGACAUCACCAUUACCCGUGUGGGUAUAUCGACCGUGAAUCUUAACCAUCCGAAACGAAAAGAUCAAUAUCUUAUCUUACCCUGUCAACAUCCCCAGUGGACAUGUAGAGAUGACAAUUACCCGUGUGGGUAUAUGGACGAUUAAAGUAUCCUAUCCCUUCCGAAACAGUGAAACGUUUUAUAUCUUUGUAAAUAUUUAUCAAAACAGGAAUGUAUGAACGGAACGACUUUUAGAUGGAAUGACUUUUAGAGAAACUGAGGUGUAAUAUAAAGGUAUCUAAUGUUAAUAAAGCAAUAGGGAAUCAUCAAUAGUACAAAGGGUGAUUAAGGAGAGCAGGGUCGUUGUGAAUGACGAAGUAGGAGACAUGAGGACUGGUAUAUCUAUGACUACCGAAUCACUUAGCACGUCGUUUUCAUUGGUAGCGACGGUUGCUUUCACUAUUGCUGACGAGUGUCUAACGACAUCGACCAGACGAACGUAUUGCCUAUCCACCGGCUGGGAGUCUAAACGUUAAACGUCUUCGACCACGUCCUUCAAAAUAGUAAAAGAAAGGAUGACUCUUUUCAGCAGUCUUUCGAUAAGCAGCAAGGGGUUAUUUCUUGCUGUAAAAUUGUUAGUGUCAGUUAGGUACCCUUCGGUCGGCCGUAUAUCGGUGUGGUAGUAAAGUUAUGAAGCAUGCCUAAGCGGAUGCCUUAAAUGGCGAGAUAACGGUAGUCAUAGUUCUCAAUUGAUGAUAACACAGCUCAAAACCGUCUAUGGAUACCAGGCUACUCCGGUCGGCAGUAGAACUUUUAGAUUUGAUGAUAGCACAGAACUAUUUUACAUAUUUAGGAGCAUAGUAUGGUCUUGUAUAAUAUGAGGUAAAUCCCUUAUCUCUUACCUAUUAAAAACAAAUCUAACUCAGUACCCUUUGAACGGGCGGUUGGCUUUCAGGUACUACAUGACAUAUGACAUGGUGGACGUAGCGAAUAAAAUAGUCUCAAAAUUACAUUAUAAUUCACACCCAGUAACAGAAGUUUAUAUAUACAAAAUAUAACGUAUAAAACAAAACAGUUGGUAUAGACUUUUACGUGACGCACUUCUGUACCGUAUUCUUUCUAUCAACUCUACCACAAACCGGAUCUAAAAUUUUUGACGAAAACCCAAGUUUUCAAUAAAAGCCUGGUUAUCUCGCAAAGCUUCGGAGUAAACAAAUUAAAUAAAGACAAAGAAUCUACAAGGUCUCUCGUCAUAUUGACAAGGUAAAAUUCCAUAUUGGCGUGUUGGGUUCUGAUGGUACAUUUUUAUCUGUAUAUCUACACCGUCCAGAUACCCACACGAGAAAUCGGGAUGUCUACAAGGCUCCACACCAAUUUGACAAGAUAAAAUUCGAUAUUGACCUUUUUAUUUACCAUGGUGUCUCUAUUAUAAUAUAUCUACACUUUCCAUAUACCCACACGAGAAAUCGGGAUGUCUCCAUGGGAAGCCAGCCGGCAUAUAGCCACACCAUCAUUUCAAUACUUCGUACGGAUUCGCCUACGGAAUUUACCGCUCUAUUGCCAUCAGUAUCAAGAGUUAACUACUAUUGUGUCGAGUUUUGGCAGAUACCUAUGGUCCGAUGAGGCCAGCCGUCAUCUUGAAAAUCUAAACUACUAUCGUGUCUUGAUAAAAUGUAUAAAUCCUCGUAUCAUACCAGAACAUAUUAUACUCCAUUUAGGGAAUAGAGAAUGGAUAAUUUUUGUUUAGAUUGAGUCAUGGGAAACUUGCCCGCCAACCGAAAGUCCAUGAUGUACUGUAUACUGUACCACCUGCAUCGCUUAUUUUAUCAGAGUUUUAAUGUAAUAUUAAGUGUGGGUCAUUGUCUUCAAAUAUAUAUGUUUUAUAUUGCAUAUUUUUUUUUGUCAACCAUAUCUGAAAAUGCACUGCGUGAAGACAUGGCAUAAGAAAGAUAGUUGAGGUGGUGUUUGGCCUAGAUUUUAAAAACUGCUUUUGGGUUCAAAAGUUAUUUUCGGACCAAUAGAGCGUUUCGAAGCCUCAUUUUUUUAAUUUAUUUCUGUUUCUUAGAUGUUCCAGAGAGCAGUAUAACUGUUCCAUUUUAAGGUAUAACCGCACAACCCAAGACUACCAUGUAAAAAUAGACAUAUAGAUGUGGCAGGUCUAUGGGUGUGCUCUUUAGCCCUACAGAUGUUCCGAGGUGUGGUUAAACUGUUCUAUUUUAAGCUAUAACUGGAAAAAUAAAUGGUACCACAGAGAUAAUAUUAUAUAGAUGUGAAAGGUAUAUGGGUGUGCUCUUUAGCCCUACAGAUGUUCUAGAGAGCAGUAUAACUGUUCCAUUUUAAGGUAUAACCGCACAACCCAAGACUACCAUAUAGAAGUAGAUAGAUAGAAGUGGCAGGUAUAUGGGUGUACUCUUUAGCCCUACAGAUGUUCUAGAGAGCAGUAUAACUGUUCCAUUUUAAGGUAUAACUGCACAACCCAAGGCUACCAUAUAGAAGUAGAUAGAUAGAAGUGGCAGGUAUAUGGGUGUACUCUUUAGCCCUACAGAUGUUCCGAGGAGUGGUAUAACUGUUCUAUUUUAAGCUAUAACAGCACAAGUAAAGGGUACCAUAUAAAAGUGGACAUAUAGAUGUGUCAGGUAUUUGUGUGUGCUUUUUAGCCGUAUAGAUGUUCCGGGGAGUGGUAUAACCGAUCUAUUUUAAGCUAUAACAGCACAAGUAAAGGGUACCAUAUAGAAGUGGAAAUAUAGAUGUGGCAGGUAUUUGUGUGUGCUUUUUAGCCAUAUAGAUGUUCCGGGGAGUGGUAUAACUGUUCUAUUUUAAGCUACAACUGGAGAAAUAAAGCCUACCACAGAAAAUAUUAUAUAGAUGUGAAAGGUCUAUGGGUCUGCUCUUUAGCCCUACAAAUGUUCCGGAGAGUGGUAUAACAGUUCUAUUUUAAACUAUAACCGCACAUUACAUAUAGAAGUGGAUUAACAUUAGAACAAAAUUUUUCUUUACGCCAGAAGUUGUAAUACGAUAUUACAAUAAAACGUAGAAUUUAAAGCAACAAAACCAUAUGGCAUCAGGACCAUUGAUAUAAUAUAAAGUCUAACACAAAAUACUACAACAGGUUAUAUUUGUACAACACAACGACUAACAUAACAACACUAUAUAAAGAUUAUUACAGCCUGCAUGAUACAGGGUGGUCAUGUACCCUUGCCACACAAGUUAUAGCAGGAUGACCACAUUAUCCCACUGACUAUCCCAUACAUGACAAAAACGGCCCAUUUCCAUCUUUUUCUUUUUGCUGCAACUGCGGGUUCUUCCCGCAACUUAUUAUUGCUUUCUAGUAAACCAUUAACCACUGAGAUACUCCGGCUCGUAAAUUGUGGGUCGUACCACCCAAAAUAAUUACAAGCGUUACUCUCCUGCAUCUAAAAGAUAAGACAAAUUAUACAUAAAAUAAUGUCCAUAUAUGAAUCGACAAGUUUAUAGUAACCAACUUUACCCUAUAUCUUGGACAGCCAUAAAAUCUCCGACCCGGAUUGUUUUGUGUCCAAGAGGUCUUAAUCGUACAGGGCAAUCCACAAUGGCAGAGCGGUGUGGAUUGGUUGCUUCGACUAGUCGAAGUUGUAAAGCUUGAAUCCAUCUAACUUGUAAUAUUAUAAAAAUAAGAAAUGCGUACAAACCGACGCAAUAUUACGACAGAUAGUUAGUACAAAUAUUGAUUAUAAAUCUGGCACAUACCGUAAAAUAUUUUAAAAAAUUUAAAUGCCAGAGUUAUAUGUACAUAACAUCAAUAGCGGAGCUUAUUGUCUAAUAUAUACUAUUGUAGGUGGAGAAUCAACAAAAUCAUCAUCACUAUCACAACUAAUAUAUGUCCUAAUCAGUCGAGGUUCACUAUGCACAGUUCUCUUCGUUCGAUAUAUUAUACUGUUCUUUGGAGGUGGAUCAACAAAAUCGUCGUCGCUGUCACCGGUAUCAGAGAUUGUAGUUUUUGAAACCACGUUCACUCGUAAUUGAUUUACACUUGUACGCAAAGCACAUUUUCGGCCCGUACUUAAUAACUUGGAGUGCGAUUUUCUGUACAUGCUUUGAAACUCGACCUACAAUAUUUAGGAUCAAUUACACAAUGUUACACUUAGGGGUGUAAACGAGCCGAACACGAGCGAGCUGGGGUCAGCUCGUGUUCGGCGAGAUGGCUCGUUAAAGUAUCGAGCCGAAACAUUCACCUUGUGUUUGGCUCGUUUAUUAACGAGCCGAACACGAGCUAGCUCACGAGCUGCCCAACGAAUAAUAAAUUAAAAUGAUUAGUAUAAAUUUAUAUACAAAAUAAAUUUAUCCAAUAUUAUCCAUUAGACUUUGAUCUUUUGAAACUUUACAUAUAAAUGAGUCUUUUUAUAAUAAAGCUCGCAUUUAUAUUUUUUUUUGGCUAAAAAUAUAAUAAUAAAAAGAUAUAUUAGAUUUAAUUAUAUAUUUACCUGAAGGGGAAGCAGCAGGGGAAGCAGCAGCAAUCUGUAACGCACUAGCGACCCGCCCUGACAGCGAGUUUGUAAGGAUGAGGAGGCUCGAGAGGCUUGCGAGCUGCUCGCUGCUCGAGAGGCUUGCGAGCUGCGAGCUGCUGGCUGCUCGAGAGGCUUGCGAGCUUCGAGCUGCUGGCUGCUCGAGAGGCUUGCGAGCUCCGAGCUGCUGGCUACUCAAAGGGGAGGAGAGUUGAAGGGAGAAAUCGACAAAAUGGAGCCCUAGCUUUUGACUGGGGAGUCGGGUAGCUCACUAAACAGAGAAACGAGCCCUUUAUUGAAUGAACUCGGUUCACAAAAAGAAUUAAACCGAACCCGAGCCACCAAAUAAACAAUAAAAUAAUGUUAAGAAUACAAUUUUUCCCUUAAAUAUUAAGAAUACAACAUUUAUAUAUUAAAAAUAUAUAAAUUAUAUAUUUGUAAAUUAAAUUUAAAUUAAAAUUUUAUAAUGUAUAGUUUCAUAUUUUUUUUAUUUAAAAAUAAAUAUUUGAAAUUAAAAUGUAUAAUUUGCAAAGAAAAACCAUAAAUUUUAGAUUUAUAAAAACCAUAAUAUUUUUAUUACAUUUUAUUUAAAAAUAAUUUAAACUUUAAAUUUAAAUUUCAAUUAAAAUUAAAAUUAUUAAAUAUCGAAAGGUACAAAAUAUACAAUUUGAUAUUUUAAUUUAAAACAUAAUGUAAAAAUUAAAAAGUAUAAAAUUUCUAUAUAAAAUUUAAAAUAAUUAUGAAAUAUAAAAUAAAAAAUUAAAUAUUAAAAUUUCUAUAUAAACUUUUCUAUACUAGAUGUACACUUUUCUAUACUAGGCCUUACAUGCUACUUUCAUAGGGUAGAGAAAGCUUGUUCACUUUGCAGGAAAUAAUCAGAAUAUCUAUGACUGUGCUACGAUACAUAUGUAGUGCCUACUUGUAUAGGGUUGGCAAUGCUGUUGCAGCUAUAGCAUACAAUGGAACAGUGGUAGAGCUCACAGGUACAUCUGUAGUGGUAAUGGAAACACCCAUAUAGCUGCCACUUAGAAUAGGCAGGCUUUGCUUUUGCAGUAAUAGAAUAUAAUGGUACAGUUGUAGGGGUCACAUGUACAUCUCUAGUGUUAAUGGGCACACCCAUAUAGCAGUCACUUCUAUAGGGUAGGCUUUGCUUUUGCAGUUAUAGAAUAUGAUGGGAUGGGACAGUUGUAGAGCUCAGCCGAACAGCGGUACUGGUAAUGGGCACACCCAUAUAGCUGUCAAUUUCAUAGGGUUGGAAAAGUUUUGGCACAUAGCAGAAAAAAAUAUAGCUUAAAACAAGUGUGCCACGGUACAUGUGUAGUGCCCACUUUUCUAUACUAGAUGUACACUUUUCUAUACUAGGCCUUACAUGCUACUUUCAUAGGGUAGAGAAAGCUUGUCCACUUUGCAGGAAAAAAUCAGAAUAUCUAUGACUGUGCUACGAUACAUAUGUAGUGCCCACUUGUAUAGGGUUGGCAUUGCUGUUGCAGCUAUAGCAUACAAUGGAACAGUGGUAGAGCUCACAGGUACAUCUGUAGUGUUAAUGGGCACACCCAUAUAGCUGCCACUUUUAUAGGGUAGGCUUUGCUUUUGCAGUUAUAAAAUAUAAUGGGACAGCUGUAGAUCUCACAGGUACAUCUAUAGUGUUAAUGGGCACACCCAUAUACCUGUCAAUUUCAUAGGGUAGGCUUUGCUUUUGUAGUUAUAAAAUAUAAUGCUACAGUUGUAGAGGUCACAUGUACAUCUGUAGUGGUAAUGGGCACACCCAUAUAGCUGCCACUUAGAAUGGGCAGGCUUUACUUUUACAGUUUUAGAAUAGAAUUAGACAGUUGUAGUGGUCACAUGUAUAUAUAUAUAAGUAAUGUGCACACCCAUAUAGUUGCCAAUUUCAUAGGAAUAUUUAUAAGUGUGCCACGGUACAUGUGUAGUGCCCACUUUUCUAUACUAGAUGUGCACUUUUCUAUACUUGGCCUUACAUGCCACUUUCAUAGGGUAGGGAAAGCUUUUCCACAUUGCAGAAAAAAAUCAGAAUAUUUAUGAGUGCGCCACGAUACAGAUGUAGUGCCCACUUGUAUAGGGUUGGCGUUGCUGUUGCAGCUAUUGCAUAGAAUGGAACAGUUGUAGAGAUCACAGGUACAUCUGUAGUGUUAAUAGGCACACCCAUAUACCUUCAACACUUCCAUAGGGUAGGCUUUGCUUUUGCAGUAAUAGAAUAGAAUGGGACAGUUGUAGGGGUCACAUGUACAUCUCUAGUGUUAAUGGGCACACCCAUAUACCUGCUAAUUUCAUAGGGUAGGCUUUACUUUUGUACUUAUAGAUUAUAAUGGGACAGUUGUAGAGCUCAGACGAACAUCUGUAAUGGUAAUGGGCACACCCAUAUACCUGCCAAUUUCAUAGGGUUGGGAAAGUUUUGGCACAUUGCAGAAAAAAAUAGGAAUAUUUAUACGUUUGCCACGAUACAUGUGUAGUGCCCACUUUUCUAUACUAGAUGUGCAAUUUUCUAUACUAGGCCUUACAAGCCACUUUCACUACCCGGAACAUCUGUAGGGCUAAAGAGUACACCUAUAUACCUGCCACAUCUAUAGGUCCACUUCUAUAUGGUACCCUUUACUUGUGCUGUUAUACCUUAGAAUAGAACACUUAUACCACUCUCCAGAACAUCUGUAGGGCUAAAGAGUACACCCAUAUACCAGCCACAUCUAUAGGUCCACUUCAAUAUGGUACCCUUUACUUGUGCUGUUAUAGCUUAAAAUAUAACACUUAUACCACUCCUCGGAAUAUCUGUAGGGCUAAAGAGUACACCCAUAUACCUGCCACAUCUAUCCAUCCACUUCUAUAUGGUAGCCUUGGGUUGUGCGGUUAUAGCUUAAAAUGGAACAGUUAUACCACUCUCUGGAACAUCUGUAGGGCUAAAGAGCACACCCAUAUACCUGCCACAUCGAUAGGUCCACUUCUAUAUGGUACCCUUUACUUGUGCUAUUAUACCUUAAAAUAGAACACUUAUACCACUCUCCGGAGCAUCUGUAGGGCUAAAGAGUACACCCAUAUACCUGCCACAUCUAUCUAUCCACUUCUAUAUGUAGCAUUCGGUUGUGCGGUUAUAGCUUAAAAUGGAACACUUAUACCACUCCCCGGAACAUCUGUAGGGCUAAAGAGCACACCGAUAAACCUGCCACAUCUAUAGGUCCACAUCUAUAUGGUACCCUUUACUUGUGCUGUUAUAACUUAAAAUAGAACACUUAUACCACUUCUCGGAAUAUCUGUAGGGCUAAAGAGUACACCCAUAUACCUGCCACAUCUAUCCAUCCACUUCUAUAUGGUAGUCUUGGGUUGUGCGGUUAUAGCUUAAAAUAGACCACUUAAAUCACUACCCGGAACAUCUGUAGGGCUAAAGAGUACACCCAUAUACCUGCCACAUCGAUAGGACCACUUCUAUAUGGUAUCCUUUACUUGUGCUGUUAUAGCUUAAAAUAUAACACUUAUACCACUCAUCGGAAUAUCUGUAGGGCUAAAGAGUACACCCAUAUACCUGCCACAUCUAUCUAUCCACUUCUAUAUGUAGCAUUCGGUUGUGCGGUUAUAGCUUAAAAUGGAACACUUAUACCACUCCCCGGAACAUCUGUAGGGCUAAAGAGCACACCCAUAAACCUGCCACAUCUAUAGGUCCACUUCUAUAUGGUACCCUUUACUUGUGCUGUUAUAACUUAAAAUAGAACACUUAUACCACUCCUCGGAAUAUCUGUAGGGCUAAAGAGUACACCCAUAUACCUGCCACAUCUAUCCAUCCACUUCUAUAUGGUAGCCUUGGGUUGUGCGGUUAUAGCUUAAAAUGGAACACUUAUAUCACAACCCGGAACAUCUGUAGGGCUAAAGAGUACACCCAUAUAUCUGCCACAUCUAUAGGUCCACUUCUAUAUGGUACCCUUUACUUGUGCUGUUAUACCUUAGAAUAGAACACUUAUACCACUCCCCGGAACAUCUGUAGGGCUAAAGAGUACACCCAUAUACCUGCCACAACUAUCUAUCCACUUCUAUAUGGUAGCCUUGGGUUGUGCGGUUAUAGCUUAAAAUCAUGUCUUCAUGAUCACUUUUAUAGUGAAGACAUAAUUCUUAUAAAUAAGCUUGGAACACCCAUAUAUCUGACUGUGCUAAGUAGGUCUUAUAAAAGAAGCUCUAAUUAUUGCUUCACUUAGGUGCAUCUGUAGUGGUGUAGAGCACACCCAUAUAUCUAGGGAAAAGUGAUGUGACCACUCUUAUAGAUCUGACACGAUUUUUCACAUCAUAGCCAGAAACGGAACACUAAUAGCCCAGGUCGGUACACUUAAGCCCUGGUUGGAACACCGAUAUACCUAUCACAUCUAUAUGUCCACUUAAAUAUGGUAGGCUAAGACCUGUAGUGCUAUAGCUUAGAAUGGAACAGUUAUACUACUUUCAGGUACAUUUAUAGUGUUAAAGGGAACACUUCUAUAGGGAUGAACCUACUGCAGUACGAGAUCAUGAACCAUCCGUAAAAUAUUGCAGUGUUUCUAUAAACAAACUGCCAUGGCUCUCCAAGCAACUCGACAACAUCCAAUACAACAUAUAACAUUCACAAUCAUAUAUAAACAAACUGCCCAGUACCCGUCACAAUUGUCACAUUUCACAAUCAUAUAUAAAAAAAUUCACAGUCAUAUAUAAGCAAACUCCCCAGUACCAGUCACAUAUAUAGUUGGAUUCACAGUCAUAUAUAAACAAAUUCACAAUCAUAUAUAACAUAUUCACAAUACUAGUCACAAUAUCACAAUUGCACAUUCACAAUCAUAUAUAAACAAUCUGCCCAGUACCAGUCACAAUGUGAACAAUUGUACAGUCACAUAUAUAAACAAAUUCAGAGUAAUAUAUAAACAAAUUCACAAUCAUAUAAAAAGAAACUGCCGAAUACCAGUCACAAAUUUACAAUUGCACAUUCACAAUCAUAUAUAAACAAACUGCCCAAUACCACUCACAAGUGCACAAUCCUAUAACAUUCAGACAUCAUCUUUUGCGACAGUGGACUCAAUCAUUGAAGUAUAGGUCACACAACAUGGAUCCUUUAAGAUGGCACUGACCAUAUGAGCACGGAAAGAGUGGGGGUCAUUAUCGUACGAUAACAGAUCGGGGAGGCCGUUUCUUACAAUUCUUUCGGCAAAAAGGCAUGUGUACAUGCCACAAUCGACUUCCGUGGAACCCUGUUGUUGACAUUCUUUAUGAAAUACCACGUCAGGAGCGCCAAUGGGGACUUGGAUGAUGUGCUCAAAAUAUGACGCAAACCACUUCGCCUGUCCAAGAGAAAAAAUGGUAAAUUAAUUAAAACGACUGGAUAGUAGAUGUUACUGCCGAGUGAAUAAAUAACUAAAACAAGCUGUCUACUGAGAAGAAUAAAUUAAUACCAGCAGCCGUCCGUAUCAUAAUCAACGUAAUCAUUACCAAUGAAAAGAAGGAAACUUUAUGAAUACGGACCUAUCUGGAUCACCCAUUCAGCCGCUCCAGCCUACGGCUCGGGUGACCCUUGAAGCAACAUCAAGAGUGUGGUGAUUGGGAUGUCCAGGAUCGUGCUCGCCCCGCCGCCUCCUGGCUCCGUUCCCAAACCGCGGUAUCCAUCGCCGGUGGCCCCUGAAAUACGUAAAACAUCAGUAAGGGAAAAACAAUAUGUACAUAGUUGAAAUAAAACAACUAAAUCCAUACAUUUCACUUUUGUUAGUACAUUACCACCUACUGAUUUACAUUUUCUAUAUUACCAACCUACCUUACAUUAUCAAAAUAAAUGAACUUAAACCAAAUUUCUUUUAGUUUAUUGUACACACUACAUAUAAAUCGAAUCUCGAAAGCGAAGGCAACAACGAACGGGAGCACGUUCGGAACAUAAUAUAUACGUUAAGGGAACAACCAACGGAUAAAUAUGUACAACAAACUCGGAACCCGCCUGUCCCCUCCGAGACAGGCAAGCCGCAGACAACUGCACUGGGCUUGGGCUGGUUUAACCGCCCCUAACCCCGCACUGUCUAUACGUCUAUCUAUCUAUAUAUUUUGACUUUUGUCAUGUCAUUAUUCGUUGAUAUUAGAUAGUUACGGAGUUAGGUCACUUUACGUACGUACCUUGAGUAUCAUUCUUCCGACUGAUUGAGUGAUGAUACAAGUUGCUGUUCUAGUGAAUAGACUAAUGGGUUAGAGAGCCGCUUGCGUUCCAAGCGAGUGUCAGAGUGCAGAGAUUCAGAGUAUCCUCUCCACCGAUCGAUAAGUGGAUGGGGCUCUGGCGGACGUCUGUGAUGUGACCAGGUUUCCGUGAUGUGACCGGGGGAGCGCACGGUUUGAAGCCUCACGUGAUGGACACUCCUCGAUGGAGGUGUCCACGUCUGUCCGAUUCACUCGAGCUAGGUUAGAGUGCUUGACCUUUGUGGGAUAGGUUGAUCCCCACUAUCGUUGUAUCAUAAGUUAAUAUGAUCCCAAGAGUACGGUGAGAACGUGAUGAAUUACGGUGAGCAAGUUACAAAUCCAAUUGAUCUACGGUGAGCAAGAGAACUGUCCAAGAACUAUGUGAUCAAAGGUUAUGUGAUCCAAGUAUAAGUGUAUUUGUUUAGGUAGUAGAUAUAUCCCGCUAGAUAGAGUAUCAUAAGUUGAGUACGUAUGAUCCAAAAGUAAGUACCAUAGAUGGUGGGUUUGAUAGUGAUCGUACGUUUCUACACGUGUUAAUGUAAAUUGUGGGAUAUUACGAUAAAGUGUUAUACAUUUACUAGCUAUAAUCAUGAGUCUGUAUUUCUCAUCGGGCUGACGAAGCCCUACCGUGAGGGGGUGGAGCACCACUACGGCGCUGAGAAGCUAACGCUAAGCGGCUGCAAAGCUGCGGAGCAACCGAAAGGGCCGUUUUGCUGCGAGGCCCCCAGCGGAAGCUGUUGUUGAGGCGUGGAUGAGCUGCUUAGCUGCUUGGCAGAAGCGGCUGCGCAAGUCUCUGGAUUGUUAAUCCAAACGCUGGGUAGUUUAAUCUAGUUUUGGGAUCUAAUCAGUUUUGGGGUUUAGCCUCGGGAUCUAGAGCUGUGACCUCUUUAGGCGCCACGCUCGAAGCUAAAGCUCGAGCUUGGAAGUGGGAUCGAAGUUAUCUAAGGUAAACUUGGUUUAGGUUCGAUAUUUUGGGAUCAAUAGGUUUAGGUGGUAAUUUCCCAAAUCUCGAAUGGAGAUAUGGUUCGAGGCUCGAACUUCUCCCUCUCUUCUUCCACUAGAAGAAGAAGAAGAAUCAGAAGAGGAAGAGAAAGAGGAAGAAAAGGAAGGAGAGGAAGAAGAAGAAGAAGAAGAGGAAAGAUCUCUCUCUCUCCCUUUCCACACUCUCUCCCUCUUUCGUUGACUCCCUCUCUUCCUCCAGGGGUUCGGGAGUAUAUCCGGUAAAACGUUAAUCGGGGGAGUUGAAAAGUAAAAGACCUUGUCGGGAGGGACCCGGUAAAAGCGUCACUCCCUGGCCAGGGUCGAGCCCCUCUGGCCAGGAGCUUUCGACGUGUUGGUCCGUCUCCCCUAAAGCGCAAGCCCUUGGCCAGAAACGGACUCUCUGGCCAGGGGCCCUCUGGCCAGGAACAGGCUCUCUGGCCAAGGGCUCUCGUUGUAGAAGCCCUGAAUCGGUUUAAAGCCGAAGUGAGCGACCCGGUUGCAAGCCCUUGGCCAAGGAGGAGUGGUCUCUGGCCAACGUAGUGUUGGAGGGCGGUCGGGUCGGACUACCCUGGCCAGGGAGGGAUGGUCCCUGGCCAGGGACUCUCGUAAAUACGAGGUCACGUCGAAAACGUGACCACGAGAGCGCCUGUGGAGGAGUUAGGUGGAAUACGUAACACCAGUGGAAGCCUGGAAGGCUUCGAAUGAGUGAGCUGUUAGUCAGCUAAGAACCGCUUCAGAUUAGGAGCUCGAAGCUCUUAAGUGAAGGGAAUGUGAAUUACUUUAUAAUUUCAGUCAAUGUUACCUUCUUUUUUAUACACAACUUCAGGCUUAGGUUUAGGAUUAGUUAUUAUAACUAAUCGAGUACAAGGUAUUAGACACUUGUAUACUUGGCAGGUUUAUUAUCGUAAACUCAAAAGGACUUAGAAAGUAUUCCGUAGAACGAUACAACGAAGGACAAAGAUACGUCUACGUGCAUGAGUUAUUCUACGUCCCUAAACCUUUCCUAUUCGGUCAUUGUCGACUAAAAGACUACCUGCACCGUAAACCUAGGCGUAGAUAUGCAGUGAAAGACCUAUUUUAUUGAUGUGUACGGACAUCGUGAAGAUCUAUACAUGAAUAAGGACAUGUAUCAUUAACCGUAACCGUAAAUCAUAGUUAACUAAACUUCCUUGCUGCAAAACUCUCAACCUUGAGAAACACCUCGGUGUCGCCCCGUGUCCUGCGCCGUCUNNNNNNNNNNNNNNNNNNNNNNNNNUCCUCAUGAGUGGCCUAGUCCUUCUCUAUUGAUUGUCAUACCCAUUCAUUUUAUGUCAUCGUUGCUAUUACUUGCUUGCUCUAUAUAUAUAUACUUUUGUGUUGAUGGCGAUGACAUUACAUGAUGACGUUCGUAUGUUCCUAUAGUUUUAAUAUCAUCGUUCUGUUGACAUUUCUUUCUUGAUCUUCAUAUAUACGUUGUUGGCGAUGAUAUCGAUAUACGCAGUUGGCCUGCUCCUCAGGUUUUCAUGGGUUAGAUUUGGCGGCACAGCCAGAUUCCUGGAGUCCGUUUUCGGUGAUAGACGAGUGUGGACCGUACAUUGGGAUCGUGUUUCUCUUGUGGCGACCCGAGUGCCCAGCCUACAUGCUGGUGAAAAGGCUUUUUCUUGUGGGAGGACGCCCCCUAGUUGGGCGACCACAUGCACUUUACGUGAGCUCGACACCGCUAGUUACGCCUAUACUAGUUAUCGGUUGGCAGCCGUUAGUUGGCUGUUAGUGGCGGGGAACCCCGAUUAGCUGGCACAUCCAGUAGUUCAUUGUUGCACUUGGCUGGUUCUCUCCAGUUAUAUGCCUUUCAUUGCUUGCUGGUUUGUCCAGUGGCUACGUUUGUCCUCUUGGCUGGUUGGUCCAGUGUUCAUAUCAUAUAUGCUUACGGCAGAUGAGAUGGGGAUAUGUCCUAUGAUGUGUAUCUUGUUGAUCCGUCUCAUUUAUUUCUAUCAUACAUCUAUGACGAGCUACAGUUGAUUUUCAUGCUUGCGUUCUUGGCUGGCUAUUCAGUGUCCUCACAUAAGCUAUAUCAGGUCUUGAUGGCAGUCGUGGUCGGCUGUUAGGAUGGGGAGUCCCAUGUGGCUGGAGUUUCCAGUAGCUUGCGCCUUCUUCGGCUUGCGGUACCCACUGGGAGGGGAGACAUGUUUACAUGUUCUCACCUCCCCCACCAUGUUUCAGGUAUCGCGGGCGAUUAGUAGUAGGACGAGACGUGAGAUACGCGUGUAGCGGUCGAUAGAGCUUCCGACCCAGGUUAUCUCGAUUUAGUUAUUACCCUCAUUAUUUCUGUGGAUACAUAUAGCUUAGACGGUUUACAUGGUUCAGUUUUGUUUUAUUAUCUGAUCAUCUGGAUUUUCAACUGGUUUUGGAAUGAGCUAAAAGAUUGGUGUUUUCUCGAAAUAAAACAGUUUUCUACCCCUCGUGGUAGCUGAUUUUGAAAAAGAAUGGUUCCCGUGUAGGGAACAGUUUUCAAAUUGACUUUUCUGUGGUUUUAUGGAUUUAGUAUUUCAAAAUCAGUUUCCAGGUAGGAAACAUUUUAACUGAUAGAUGUGGAAUGUUAUUCAUAACUCAAGUAUUAUAUCUGUGUGUGUGAAUGGAAUGGAUGAAUGUCAUCUGUCUUGUUGUUCAUCUGGUUGUGGUUGUGUGUGUAUCUAUACUCUGUUGUACUUGUGCGACGCCGUGCAAAUACAGGGGAGACUCUGUCCGUGUGAACAGUGGAUUCCCUGUAUUUGUGGCG
rnacentral:lncRNA from 1 species